CACGUAGGCGGAUUGUUUAGUGAGGGGUGAAAUCCCGGGGCUCAACCCCGGAACUGCCUUUCAUACUGGCAAUCUAGAGUUCGAGAGAGGUGAGUGGAAUUCCGAGUGUAGAGGUGAAAUUCGCAGAUAUUCGGAGGAACACCAGUGGCGAAGGCGGCUCACUGGCUCGAUACUGACGCUGAGGUGCGAAAGCGUGGGGAGCAAACA
rnacentral:rRNA from 1 species